rnacentral:tRNA from 1 species
AGGGUAUUAGUCUAAAAUAAGACCUCUGAUUUCGACUCAGAGAACCGUGGUUAAAGUCCACGAUCCCCUU